rnacentral:rRNA from 1 species
GACGAACGCUGGCGGCGUGCUUAACACAUGCAAGUCGAACGAUGAAGCCUAGCUUGCUAGGUGGAUUAGUGGCGAACGGGUGAGUAAUACGUGAGUGACCUACCUUUGACUCUGGGAUAAGCCUGGGAAACUGGGUCUAAUACCGGAUACGACCAAUCUCCGCAUGGGGUGUUGGUGGAAAGCGUUAUGGAGUGGUUUUAGAUGGGCUCACGGCCUAUCAGCUUGUUGGUGAGGUAAUGGCUUACCAAGGCGACGACGGGUAGCCGGCCUGAGAGGGUGACCGGCCACACUGGGACUGAGACACGGCCCAGACUCCUACGGGAGGCAGCAGUGGGGAAUAUUGCACAAUGGGCGCAAGCCUGAUGCAGCGACGCCGCGUGAGGGAUGACGGCCUUCGGGUUGUAAACCUCUGUUAGCAUCGAAGAAGCGAAAGUGACGGUAGUGCAGAGA